rnacentral:tRNA from 1 species
GCGCCCGUAGCUCAGCUGGAUAGAGUACCUGGCUACGAACCAGGUGGUCGGAGGUUCGAACCCUCCCGGGCGCACCA